UACGAAGGGGGCAAGCGUUGUUCGGAAUCACUGGGCGUAAAGGGUGCGUAGGUGGUUAUGUAAGUCGGAUGUGAAAACCCCUGGCUUAACCAGGGAUCUGCAUUCGAAACUGCAUGGCUUGAGUACGGGGGAAGAGAGUGGAAUUCUCAGUGUAGCGGUGAAAUGCGUAGAUAUUGAGAAGAACACCUGUGGCGAAAGCGGCUCUCUACCUUGAUACUGACACUGAGGCACGAAAGCUAGGGUAGCAAACGGG
rnacentral:rRNA from 1 species